GACAGAGGGGGCAAGCGUUGCUCGGAAUUACUGGGCGUAAAGGGCGCGUAGGCGGGAUGGCAAGUCGGUCGUGAAAUCCCUCGGCUCAACCGAGGAACGUCGAUCGAUACUGCUGUUCUUGAGGAUUGCAGAGGAGACUGGAAUUCCCGGUGUAGCGGUGAAAUGUGUAGAGAUCGGGAGGAACACCAGUGGCGAAGGCGGUCAACUGGCCCUCGACUGACGCUGAGGCACGAAAGCGUGGGGAUCAAACAGG
rnacentral:rRNA from 1 species